rnacentral:rRNA from 1 species
CACAAAAUGACUCUCGGCAACGGAUAUCUCGGCUCUUGCAUCGAUGAAGAACGCAGCGAAAUGCGAUACUUGGUGUGAAUUGCAGAAUCCCGUGAACCAUCGAGUCUUUGAACGCAAGUUGCGCCCGAAGCCUCACGGCCGAGGGCACGCCUGCCUGGGUGUCACA